rnacentral:rRNA from 1 species
CCUCGAUGUCGGCUCAUCACAUCCUGGGGCUGAAGUAGGUCCCAAGGGUAUGGCUGUUCGCCAUUUAAAGUGGUACUCGAGCUGGGUUUAGAACGUCGUGAGACAGUUCGGUCCCUAUCGGCCGUGGGCGCUGGAGAACUGAGGGGGGCUGCUCCUAGUACGAGAGGACCGGAGUGGACGCAUCACUGGUGUUCGGGUUGUCAUGCCAAUGGCACUGCCCGGUAGCUAAAUGCGGAAGAGAUAAGUGCUGAAAGCAUCUAAGCACGAAACUUGCCCCGAGAUGAGUUCUCCCUGACUCCUUGAGAGUCCUGAAGGAACGUUGAAGACGACGACGUUGAUAGGCCGGGUGUGUAAGCGCAGCGAUGCGUUGAGCUAACCGGUACUAAUGAACCGUGAGGCUUAACCUUACAACGCCGAAGGUGUUU